rnacentral:lncRNA from 1 species
GAAGGUAGAAGGUGGGGUCUGCCGGACGCGUGUUCCUGCCACCAGGUGCCCGCUCCCCGCAAGGCCGGCUCAGGAGCAGAAGGAAGCCCGGUGCCAGCCAGCCUUCAUGAAAGACCAAGCCCGCGCCAUCCGGCUUCCUCCAGUGGACGCCUGCAGGACCCAGGAAUGUUUUUCUUGAAGGCAUCCGGCAUCUCCAGUUAGCAGUACUGAUUUUUUUUUCUCCCCCAACAAAGGAACACUACAUCAACACUCUUGGCGGGGACCUGGACACAGAAGACUCCUGUUUCAAGAAAAUACAAUCAUCUCUCAAAGGCUGUAAUUUAUAUGCAUUUUAAAACUCUCUAGGCAUUGAAAACUACCCAAGUGUCCCAAAUAGAAGGGUAAUAUAUAAUCAAUCACUCAGUGUAAUAUUAUACAUCCUUUAAAAAUGUUGUUGGGAAAUGUUUUAUGAUCUGUAAGUCCAAGGAAUCCUCUCCCACCAUUUCUUUCUCCCCGCUGUUCCCCCAUACCCACACUUCUUUGUUCCAAUUGGCAUGUAAAUUUGGUUUUCCCGCCAAAUGAGUCAGUCAUGAUGGGAACCUCAACUGAUUUGAACAGAUGUGUGUCAAUGUUACUUGGAAAACUAGAUGUCAAUAACCAGGGUCACAGAAAAAGGCAGUGGUCGCAACUCUGUAAAAAUGUAUGCAUGCACACAGACAAGGACUAAAGUGGAACCCCACACAGG